AUUGAACGCUGGCGGCAUGCUUUACACAUGCAAGUCGGACGAGUGGCGAACGGGUGAGUAACGCCUAGGAACGUAACGAGUAAUGGGGGAUAACUGUCCGAAAGGACAGCUAAUACCGCAUAUUAUUCGAGCGGCCGAUGGCGGAUUAGCUGGUUGGCGGGGGAACGGCCCACAAAGGCGACGAUCAGUAGCGGGUCUGCGAGGAUGAUCCGCCACAAUGGGACUGAGAAACGGCCCAGACUCCUACGGGAGGCAGCAGUGGGGAAUUGUGGACAAGGGGCGCAAGCCUGAUCCAGCCUUGCCGCGUGUCUGAAGAAGGCCUUCGGGUUGUAAAGGACUUUUGUCAGGGAAGCGGUACCUGAAGAAUAAGCACCGGCUAACUACGUGCCAGCCGCCGCGGUAAUUC
rnacentral:rRNA from 1 species